GAAGGGUGCAAGCGUUACUCGGAAUUACUGGGCGUAAAGCGUGCGUAGGUGGUUUUUUAAGUCUGUUGUGAAAGCCCUGGGCUCAACCUGGGAACUGCAGUGGAAACUGGACAACUAGAGUGUGGUAGAGGGUAGCGGAAUUCCCGGUGUAGCAGUGAAAUGCGUAGAGAUCGGGAGGAACAUCCAUGGCGAAGGCAGCUACCUGGACCAACACUGACACUGAGGCACGAAAGCGUGGGGAGCAAACAGGAUUAGAUACCCUGGUAGUCCACGCCCUAAACGAUGCGAACUAGAUGUUGGGAGCAAUUUGGCUCGCAGUAUCGAAGUAACGCGUUAAGCCCGCCGCCUGGGGAGUACGGUCGCAAGACUG
rnacentral:rRNA from 1 species